AACGAACGCUGGCGGCAUGCCUAACACAUGCCAGUCGAACGAAGCCUUCGGGCUUAGUGGCGCACGGGUGCGUAACGCGUGGGAAUCUGCCCCUUGCUUCGGAAUAACAGUUAGAAAUGACUGCUAAUACCGGAUGAAGUCUUCGGACCAAAGAUUUAUCGGCAAGGGAUGAGCCCGCGUAGGAUUAGGUAGUUGGUGGGGUAAAGGCCUACCAAGCCGACGAUCCUUAGCUGGUCUGAGAGGAUGAUCAGCCACACUGGGACUGAGACACGGCCCAGACUCCUACGGGAGGCAGCAGUGGGGAAUAUUGGACAAUGGACGCAAGUCUGAUCCAGCAAUGCCGCGUGAGUGAUGAAGGCCUUAGGGUUGUAAAGCUCUUUUACCAGGGAUGAUAAUGACAGUACCUGGAGAAUAAGCUCCGGCUAACCCCGUG
rnacentral:rRNA from 1 species